AGAUAUGAGCGUGAUCUGGCUGCAACAUCUGUCACCCCACUGAUUGCCAGGGUUGAUUUGGCUGAUCUGGCUGGUUAGGCAGGUGUCGCUCUCCUCCCUCACGCUCCAUGUGCAUCCCUCCCAAAGCUAUGUGCUCCAUUGAGGAUGACCUUUCCCGAUAGAGGAGAGGACCGUUCUUCCGUCAAGGGUAUACAAGUAGCUGCGCUCCCCUGCUAGAACCUCCAAACAAGCUCUCCAGGUCCAUUUGUAGGAAAACGUAGGGUAGUCGAAAUGCCAAGACUCCAGACACAUCCAACUGAGAAGCUGCACUUGGCAGUCUGCCUUUCUUU
ensembl:misc_RNA 7SK 7SK RNA